rnacentral:misc_RNA from 1 species
UCUAACCGCCAUCUUUUUGUCGUUAUUGUUCCUGCUAAUACUUGUCUUUUUACCUCUGAUCGUUUAAUUCGACGAGCUUGAUAACAAAAUAUGUGAGCGAUUAAAUAUGGUGAGCACGCUUCCCUUGUUAUCUUGAAUAAGGAAAACUUUUAUACAUAUCACGAGAUCUUAUAAUUCUAUAUCACCCAAGGACACAAAUUUUUUACCACUACUGCAAAUGGAAUGUAAUAAUCACAUAGUAUGUUUUACAUACGUAAUUAAGAAGCAUUGUCUGAAUCAAAUAUUAUUGAGAGAUGCUGUAAAACUACAUAUUUGAGAAAUUGAAUCCAAUAUCCAUCAUUAUGAUAUCUUGCGACACUUCAUUUAAGGUUUGCCGCAAAUCUGUCCAUGAGAAUGAAAAAUUUCGAUGACGCAAUUGAAAGGAGAACUAUUAAUUCAACUUAUUGUUAUCUGUUGGGCGAUACUAUUAGCGAUGGUCUUGGUAGGAGUUCGAAACGAACCGCAAGGUCCAGCCUAUCUUCCACCUAGUUCUCGACCUGCUGGUGGAGGUGGAGGUGGAGGUGGAGGUCAUCCGGAUGAAUGGGCCGGUGAUCCGGCGAACUACGAGUUCUCGUACGAGGUUCAGGACGCGGCAGCGGGUCUGGAUUUUGGCCAUCGCGAGAUGAGAAAGGAUAUGGAGGCUACCGGGACUUACCACGUAUUGUUACCGGACGGCAGGACCCAGAUCGUUGACUACGUCGCCGAUCAAGACGGAUAUCGGCCGAUGGUGCGGUACGAGGGAACCGCCAGUUAUCCUGCGCCAGGACCAGCAGGACCUGCACAAGAGGAGGGCUACAGAUAUUAGAACCUUAACUUUCUCACGAUGGAGGGCCGAUUCUUAACACUUUAGAAGGAUUAGAUUACUUUCGCCAAUUAAAGGUUUGCUAAGCAGAAAUAAAUAAAUCCACGGAUAAAGCAUGAAGAAUAAAGUGAGAUAGAGUUAUCGUCUCUGAAUCACCUGGAUCUAGUAUUGCAUAAUCUAUCUUUGUCGUAUGUGAUGUAUUCACAUACGACAAUGACGUCGUUUAUGAUGUAAAAAAUGCCGAAAAUCUGGACGAUAAGAUAAAUUUUUAACAAAUUAUUAUUAAUAAAUUUUGGUAUUAAUUGUUCAAGCAACUUUUUAAUAUAAUAAUAUAUUGCGGACAAAUUUCACCAAAGCUUCGAACAGAAACAUGUGAGUGGCCCAUCUUGAGAUUAUUACACUCAAUGCCUGAAGUUUCCAGAAUGCUCAAGAAGCUCGCAUGCUGAGUUCGCCUGUUGGUAGUUGCGAGAUUUUGGAGCAAUCCUUGCGAACGCAGUAGUAUUAUAUUAGAUCAUUGUUGACAGUGCGUUCUGUCACUAUCGUUUGAUAAACUCUCUCGUGUCGUCUUACAACACGAACGAGACGGUUAGGUAUCGAAACGUUU